rnacentral:sRNA from 1 species
ACCGCCAUGGACGGCGGAGGUUCCAAGCAGGAGCGAUGUUUUAAAACAGGGUGGUUUGCAAAGUUUUAAAACUCGCAGAUUAGAUUUUGACAUGGACGUCAAAAUCUAAUCCAUU